UUAGGUUUUUUUGUCUGUUUUGUGUUCUGUAACUCACAACUACAUUCUUUUCCACAGGUAUUGAUGACUUACAUUUUCGUAGAAACGCAAGAACGCGUUUCAUGUUACAAGACGUAUAAGGCAACUAGUUCUAAUUCAGUUGGUUCUUUUCCUAGAAUAAACUUCAGUGCCUCAUGCGUACUGUUUAAAACAGGUGUGUUUCACGCCUGCCGAUGAACAUGCACUCGAAAGCAAAGAACUCUGGGUGAAGAAUCCUUCUGUUACGAAGAACAUCAUAACCUGUUACAAGGAGUUCAUGCACGUAUGCAAUUGUAAUGGGCACCCAACAUGGUACUCUGCCAUUCAAUGCGAACAAGACGAAGUAAGUGGGCGUCACGCGCCUAAUUGUUGAAUAAAAGUCACAUGUUUACACCUGCCACAAA